rnacentral:rRNA from 1 species
AUACGGAAGGUCCGGGCGUUAUCCGGAUUUAUUGGGUUUAAAGGGAGCGCAGGCGGAGAUGCAAGCGUGACGUCAAAUUUCGGGGCUCAACCCCGUCUCGCGUCGCGAACUGCGUCCCUUGGUUGCGGGAAGGGGAGGCGGAACUCGUGGUGUAGCGGUGAAAUGCAUAGAUAUCACGAAGAACUCCGAUCGCGAAGGCAGCCUUCCGGCCCGUCAACGACGCUCAUGCUCGAAGGUGCGGGUAUCAAACAGGAUUAGAUACCCUGGUAGUCCGCACAGUAAACGAUGGACACCCGCGGUUUGGCCUGUAUGGCUGAGCCGCCAAGCGAAAGCGUUAAGUGUCCCACCUGGGGAGUACGCCGGCGACGGUGAAACUCAAAUGAAUUGGCGGGG